rnacentral:tRNA from 1 species
GCCUUCGUGGUGUAACGGUAGCACACUCAGACCUAGACCUAGAGAGAGACCUAGGUUCGCGUCCCAGCGAGGGCA